rnacentral:rRNA from 1 species
UACAGAAGCCUCAAGCGUUGUUCGGAAUUACUGGGCGUAAAGGGAAUGUAGGUGGUUUUGUAAGUCAGAUGUGAAAGCCCUGGGCUUAACCCGGGAAGUGCAUUUGAUACUGCAAGGCUCGAGUGCGAAAGAGGAAAGUGGAAUUCCAGGUGUAGGGGUGAAAUCCGUAGAUAUCUGGAGGAAUACCAAUGGCGAAGGCAGCUUUCUGGUUCGUAACUGACACUGAGAUUCGAAAGCGUGGGUAGCAAACAGG